CCUACGGGCGGCAGCAGUGAGGAAUAUUGGUCAAUGGGCGCGAGCCUGAACCAGCCAAGUCGCGUGAGGGAAGACGGUCCUAUGGAUUGUAAACCUCUUUUGUCGGGGAGCAAAAGACGCCACGCGUGGCGUUCCGAGAGUACCCGAAGAAAAAGCAUCGGCUAACUCCGUGCCAGCAGCCGCGGUAAUACGGAGGAUGCGAGCGUUAUCCGGAUUUAUUGGGUUUAAAGGGUGCGCAGGCGGAAGAUCAAGUCAGCGGUAAAAUUGAGAGGCUCAACCUGUUCGAGCCGUUGAAACUGGUUGUCUUGAGUGAGUGAGAGGGAUGCGGAAUGCGUGGUGUAGCGGUGAAAUGCAUAGAUAUCACGCAGAACUCCGAUUGCGAAGGCAGCAUACCGGCGCUCAACUGACGCUCAUGCACGAAAGUGUGGGUAUCGAACAGGAUUAGAUACCCGAGUAGUC
rnacentral:rRNA from 1 species